rnacentral:lncRNA from 1 species
GUAACAGAAUACCUGAAACUGGGUAAUUUAUAAAGGAGAGAAAUUUAUUUCUUACAGUUAUGAAGGCUGAGAAGCCCAAGGUCCAGGGGCCCCAUCUGGUGAGGGCCUUCUUGCUGGUGGAGACUCUGCAGAGUCCUGAGGUGGUGCAGGGCAUCACAUGGUGAGGUGGCUGAGUGUGGUAGCUUAAGUCUCUCUUUCUCUUCUUAUAAAGCCACCAGUCUCACUCCCCUGAAAACCCAUUAAUCCAUUAAUAGAUUCAUACGUUCAUGAGGGUGGAGCCUUUAGGGCCCAAUCACUUCUUAAAGGCCCUGUUUCUCAAUACUGCCACAUUGGAGAUUAAGUUUCAACAUGAGUUUUGGAGGGGACAACCAUUCAAAGCAUAGCAGAGUCCUUUAAUUGUUAUAAGCUUUCCUAAUUAUUAGCUUUAAUAUGAUCUACGUAUCAAUUUUACUUUGGUUUUCCAGCUUAGAGAAGAGGACGGCAUACAGAAAAAUAUAUCUUCUGCAAAGAAAAGCACAGUCAUGUAGAGAACCUUUCCAUUCCCAAUCUGGACCCAGUAAUUCAAGUUUGACACACUACACCAGGGCGGACGUGCCUUGUCAUUACACAUCUUCUCAGCAGCACCAGAAGAUACAUCCAAAGUCGUGUGAGCAAGGUAAGCCUGUAGCAACCCUUUGAUGUCUUUGAAAAAUGCAAAACUGCUCACUGAUCAGGAGAAAAGGGGCCACAGGAGAAGUAUUUCCCCCUCACAUGUAGUUUUUAUUUUUUUAACGUAUUUUAUGUUUUUCUCUAAAUCAAGCUCAGACUUACUCUGUUUACACUGAAAUACACUGCACAGUGCCAUAGGUGUAAUCAGACUCAGAUCUCAACAAUGUGUAUGAUUCCAUACCCAGUAUAAAUAA